rnacentral:rRNA from 1 species
UACGUAGGGUGCGAGCGUUAAUCGGAAUUACUGGGCGUAAAGUGUGCGCAGGCGGCCGCGCAAGUCGAGUGUGAAAUCCCCGAGCUUAACUUGGGAAUUGCGCUCGAAACUACGUGGCUGGAGUGUGGCAGAGGAAGGUGGAAUUCCACGUGUAGCGGUGAAAUGCGUAGAGACGUGGAGGAACACCGAUGGCGAAGGCAGCCUUCUGGGCCAACACUGACGCUCAUGCACGAAAGCGUGGGGAGCAAACAGG